GUUUGUAUAAAAACAAUGACCAGUCUCUUUAGACAUUCAGCUCUUACAGCUCUUCACAAGAUCUGUUGCUCAUUCUUGGUAGAAUGAUGAAGCUCUUCCUUCUGGUUGUAGUAGCCUUUGUUGUUUUCACCUCUGCUAAUGUAAUCCGCGAGGAAAUGGAUAUGUGUGCACCGUCCAGCGACUUCAAAUCAUGUCUUUAUUUAAUCAAUAGCAAAAGAGAGGAAAACCUCAACCUGGCAGAGAUUGUUGCCAACAUCGGAAAGGUCAUCAAUGUAAUUGACGGGUUUGUUAAUGGUGCAGCCACAGUGACAAAGAGAGAGGAGCAAGACCUCUGUGUUAAAAUCGGUGGUGUUACUGUAUGUCUGUAAAUGAAAACAUGACAAAUGCCAUGUUCAAUAAAUUUCUAAAAAAAGAUAAAA